GUUGGCCCUUUUAAUGCCAAAGUCCCUGGCUGGCCAAAGAGAGCCCCCUCUACCGAGGGAAUGGAGGUCUCUCCUUUUCAGCGCUUUUGGCAAUGGCCCAUUGGGAUGCGCCUGGCUUAAGGACCACCCUGUAAGGAGGGUUUGGGUCUCCUUCGCCACGCUUAUGUAGCCACAGGGCACUUUGAUACGCCAGGCAAAAGGACCGCCCUGUAACCAGGGUGUAAGGUCUUAGCCCUCUCAUUCUUGAACUAGGAGAGCCUCUUUGUGCCUGUGGCUGAGUGACCCCCCUUUAAGAAGGGUCGAGGUCUCUCUGGCUUUCUGCUAUUUAGAACCUAGCCUUUAAUAUGCCCCGUGCCACUGACCUCUCCCUGUAAGAAGGGUGCAGGUCUCCCCUUUCUAGCUUGUCUUGGGCCGCUGGCACUUGCUGGGCAAAGGGACCACCUCUACCGAGGGAAUGGAGGUCUCUCCUUUUCAGCGCUUUUGGCAAUGGCCCAUUGAAAUGCCCCUGGCUUAAGGACCACCCUGUAAGGAGGGUUUGGGUCUCCUUCGCCACGCUUAUGUAGCCACAGAUCACUUGGACACGCCAGGCAAAAGGACCGCCCUGUAACCAGGGCUUAAGGUCUUAUCCCUCUCAUUCUUAAACUAGCAGAACCCCCUUGUGCCUCUGGCUGAGUGACCCCCCUUUAAGAAGGGUCGAGGUUCUACUUCGGCUAGUCACCGUAAAUGGCACUAGAAUGAUUUCUACUUGGCUCUUCUGGGUUCUGAAGUGAAAUCUGAUUUGUGUCCCAUGGAUUUCCUGUCCGGGACACAUGGAACCAGGUGUGGCGAAGGGGCGGCUGUAAGGGGAUGGUGGAGGCCGUGAAAAAUUCAACCCUUUCCUCAAAAAAGCCAAGAAAUCACCAAAGUCCAAAGUGAGCUCCCUCUAACUAGGGUGUAGGUCUUUCUCUCCCUUUCCCAAGAUUACACUCCCCUUUGAAAGCUAGUUCUAGAAACCAGCCUCUUGAGAGAGUUAAGGGUUUGCCCUUGUAGCUGCCCUGUGCCCGUGGCCUCCUCACGCACUCAGCCAAGUCAAAGCCCAGCGUACUCUGCAUCCGGAUGGCCCUGAGUUCUGCUGCAAGCUCUCCUGCCUUCUGCUACGGAUUGGUGCCGAAGCCUAGGGACUGGGCAACUCAAAGGACAAAAUGAAGACGACGACAGAAGCACCAAAGAAACUGCAGGAAAAGAGAAGAAAAGGCCAGUCAAAAACCACACACACAUUGCACACAUGGCCCUCCCUGUGGCAUUUACACUUGUCCGCCUAGGCUUAAUCCCCCUGGAGGGACCAGGGGAAAGGACCUCUCCGUAAACGGAGAUCAAGGUCCGCUCCUUGCCAAGAGAAAUGCUUUAUGGGCCCAUUGCGCACCUGCGGCUGAGUGACCCCCCUUUAAGAAGGGUUGAGGUCUCUGUGCAUUUCGGCUCUUCAGGACUUAGCCUUUAACAUGCCCCGUGCCACUGACCUCUCCCUGUAAGAAGGGUGCGGGUCUCCCCUUUCUAGCUUGUCUUGGGCCGCUGGCACUUGCUGGGCAAAGAGACCACCCUCUACCGAGGGAAUGGAGGUCUCUCCUUUCAGCGCUUUUGGCAAUGGCCCAUUGAAAUGCCCCUGGCUUAAGGACCACCCUGUAAGGAGGGUUUGGGUCUCCUUCGCCACGCUUAUGUAGCCACAGAUCACUUGGACACGCCAGGCAAAAGGACCGCCCUGUAACCAGGGCCUAAGGUCUUAUCCCUCUCAUUCUUAAACUAGCAGAACCCCCUUGUGCCUCUGGCUGAGUGACCCCCCUUUAAGAAGGGUCGAGGUCUCUCUGGCUUUCUACUAUUCAGGACCUAGCCUUUAAAAUGCCCUGUGCCACUGACCUCUCCCUGUAAGAAGGGUGCAGGUCUCCCCUUUCUAGCUUGUCUUGGGCCGCUGGCACUUGCUGGGCAAAGAGACCACCCUCUACCGAGGGAAUGGGGGUCUCUCCUUUUCAGCGCUCUUGGCAAUGGCCCAUUGAAAUGCCCCUGGCUUAAAGACCACCCUGUAAGGAGGGUUUGGGUCUCCUUCGCCACGCUUAUGUAGCCACAUGCCAGGCAAAAGGACCGCCCUGUAACCAGGGUGUAAGGUCUUAGCCCUCUCGUUCUUAAACUAGGAGAGCCUCUUUGUGCCUGUGGCUGAGUGACCCCCCUUUAAGAAGGGUUGCGGUUCCAGUUCUGUUAGUCGCAGAAAAUUCCCCAAGAAUGAUUUCUAUUUGGCUUUUUUGAGCUUUGAGGUGAAAUCUUAUUUGUGACCCGUGUAUUUCUUCUCCGGGUCACGUGUAACCCGGUGUGGCGAAGGGGCGGCUGUAAGGGGAUGGUGGAGGCCGUGAAAAAUUCGACCCUUCUUUCCCAGAGAGCCAACAAAUCGGCCCAAAUUCCGUAUCUCACAAAGUCUGGAACUGAACAGGUGAGGAAGCGGGCUCCUUUCAGAGCCUCACUUCCAUGCAAUCCUUCCUCAUCUCCUCUUGCCCUGCCCAAUUUACACUGCCCAAUCAACCUCAGCUUUGAGCCCGUGUUUGAUUCGGCACAAGAAAGACGUUGCUGGACGUAGCAUUUGUAAGGGUACAGAUUCGGAGAGCUCCGUAAGUUGUGUCUGAAUUCCAGGCCUUUUGUUUCUUUGCUGACAGAACGAGGCUAUUCCUAGGGCUAUGUUUGAAGUGAUUGAUGUGGCUGUCCUUUUGGAAAUGUGCUCAUGCUCAGCUGGUGUAGGUUCUUGGCGUGGUAUUCAGAGCUUGCACGGGGGUGCACCUAACCCUACUAACAGGACUGUGUUUUGGUCAAGGUUAGGGGGCACAAAGUUGAAAUUUUCUUGGUGGGGUAGGAAGGUAAGUCGGGAAGGGUGUUGCCGAGGGAUGGAGGAUUUAAUGGUAAUGCGAGACUCAGCGGGACUCCUCCCUUACCUGUUCAUUACCAGAUCUUUUCACAUUGGGGACUUUCCCCCCCUUCUUUAAAGGAGGACUAUUUUCCUAAAGAAAGGGUG